rnacentral:rRNA from 1 species
UAGUCCACACCGUAAACGAUGAAUGCUAGAUGUUGGGCUUUAGCUCAGUGUCGCAGCUAACGCGAUAAGCAUUCCGCCUGGGGAGUACGGCCGCAAGGUUAAAACUUAAAGGAAUUGACGGGGACCCGCACAAGCGGUGGAGCAUGCGGUUUAAUUCGAUGAUACGCGAAAACCUUACCAACCCUUGACAUGGUAGUCAUACUUUGCAGAGAUGCAUCGGUCAGCUCGGCUGGACUACACACAGGUGUUGCAUGGCUGUCGUCAGCUCGUGUCGUGAGAUGUUGGGUUAAGUCCCGCAACGAGCGCAACCCUCAUCAUUAGUUGCCAGCGAGUAAUGUCGGGAACUUUAAUGAAACUGCCGGUGAUAAGCCGGAGGAAGGUGGGGACGACGUCAAGUCAUCAUGGCCCUUAUGGGUUGGGCUACACGCGUGCUACAAUGGCAAUAACAGAGGGAAGCAAUACGGCGACGUGGAGCAAAUCCUUAAAAAUUGCCUC